AGGUUUGUUAGGAGAUCCCUAUCCCCCUCACAGAGCUACAAUUUCCAACGUUCCCUGGGAAGAAGGAGUGACUGUUAAUUGAGAAUUGUAGCUCUUUGAGGGGAAUGGUGGUCUCCUAACAACCCU